GUUCUGUUUCUUCCCUUCAGAAUGGCAACCAAUUUACCGGAAAGGAGGUUUCUACAAUUAUAAUUAAGGCGCAAGGUCUCUUGUUACCCAAAUAGGCCGCCUCUAUAGUUGAUUUGAAGACGUGGAUGUUUGAAAUAACUGCGGCAAUGGUGCCACUCAAUAUCAGAGCAAGGACUAUCAACAAACUUCUAAAGUACUGUCUGUCUCUACACUUAAGACUACUAUAGGAAGUUGUUUACGGCUGGGAAUGGUGUUGAAUACGAUUUUGAAAUUAAUUUGAGAUGGUAGUGAAAAUUCAGGAUCGAAAAAUCAAAUUAGUGGUGCCAGGAAAAUGUGGCGCCAGGUGCAGUAGCAACAAAACAGCAGCAACUACUCUACUCAAGGUGAUCAAGCGGCCUGAGCAACAUCACUGCAAGAAGAAAAAAAGUAUUCAUAAAAAAUUGAACUAACCGCAAAUCAGGCCAGCUUCAUAAAAAUUCAACUAACCGCAAAUCAGGCCAGCUUCAUAAAAACUGAACUAACCGCAAAUCAGGCCAGCUUAAGGGCCUUCAAAAGAGAUGGCAAACGGGCUCUCUGAAGAAAUAUACCAUCGAGAAUAUACCAUCAAGCAACGCUGCACAGCAGCUGCAGCAGCAGCAGCUAAAGGGAAUGUAGAUAACCAGCACUCCAGCAGCAAAAGAUCAUCAAGAAAUGGUACUCUUACCCUGCAGCAAAAGGACUGGCAGAAAACAUGGCACUUUUAACAGCAAUAAUAACAUGGCUUGCAAGAAAGAAAGCAACAACUGUUUCCAUAAAGCAGCAUCAUAACCAAGAAAUCAGGCAGCAUGAGCAACAUCACUGCAAGAAGAAAAAAGUAUUCAUCAAAAAAGUAUUCAUCAACUGUACUAACCUCAAGUCAGGCCAGCUUAAGGGCCUUCAAAAGGGCUCUCAGAAAAAAUAUACAGUCAAGCAACACUGCACAAUAAUUUAAAAGGACAAGCAGAUAUCCAGCACUCCAGUAGCAAAAUAUCUUUAAGAAAUUGCACUCUACCCUGCAGCAAAAGGACUGGCAGAAAACAUGGCACUUUCAGCAGCAAUAAUAAGAAGGCUGGCAAGAAAGAAAGCAACAACUGUGUUUCCACAAAGCAGCAUCAUAACCAAGAAAUCAGGCGGCACGAGCAACAUAAUUGCAAGAAGGAAAAAACCAAUAAAUCCAUAAAUAAAGCAGUCUCCAGCAGCAACAUUACUGCAAGAAUGAAAAAACCAAUAAAUCCAUAAAUAAGGCAGUCUCCAGCAGCAACAUCACUGCAAGAAGGAAAAAACCAAGAAAUCCAUAAACAAGGCAGUUUCCCGGCAGCAACAGGUAAAGCCUUCGGAACAAACACUUUCAGCAGCGCAAGCCUUGCUGGGGAACGUGCAGCAAUGAAGGUAGUAGACGUUAUUCCAAGCAGGGCGUGCAAGAAAAUAGUUAACCUGCAGAAAACACUGUCCUGUCCUCCAAGUACAACACCAAGAUGCCUGCAAAGAAACAAACUUACAGUGGCCAUACAUUAUGAAAAACAUCAAAAGAACCUUUAGAGAAAAUGGCUUAAACAGCAAACCCAGCAGAGUACAGAGCGUUGUAAAGGGAAAAACCUACUCGCAGCGAAAGAACUGCUGCCAUAUAAAAAGGGUUUUCUACAAAACUAAACUCUUCCAGUAAUAGAGAAUCGACCUUUUCAUUUAUCAACAGCCAAUAGGAAAGAUAAUUAUUGCUCUCCAUAGUAAAGUGCCUUGCUAAACAGAAGACACUCCUUGCAGCUGUAUCAAAGGAUCUUUGUUUUAAUGACAGGAACAACUGAAAACAUGGUUGUUUCAACAAGUACGUAUUCACAGCAACACCAUCCAAAGCUUUAUGAAGAAAGGUGGCCAAUCCCACGAGCUAAAUUAAAAGGGCUGCAGAAGAAACAACACUGGAUAAUAACAUCCAAAGGAGCUUGCAAAAAGAAAAAAAAUUACAGACAGUGCCCCCAGUAGCAACUACAUUAUCAGUAGCAGUCCCCGCAGCAUAGAAACAGCAUUCUCUAGCCAUCAUUUGCAGUAAAAAACGGUAAAUGGGGCUUUGCUAAAAAAUCUUCUGUAGAGGAAAAUUAUGCACAACAAAAGAACUGGUAAC